GAUGAACGCUGGCGGCGUGCCUAAUACAUGCAAGUCGAGCGAACAGACGAGGAGCUUGCUCCUUCGACGUUAGCGGCGGACGGGUGAGUAACACGUAGGUAACCUACCUAUAAGACUGGGAUAACUUCGGGAAACCGGAGCUAAUACCGGAUAAUAUUUCGAACCGCAUGGUUCGAUAGUGAAAGAUGGCUUUGCUAUCACUUAUAGAUGGACCUGCGCCGUAUUAGCUAGUUGGUAAGGUAACGGCUUACCAAGGCAACGAUACGUAGCCGACCUGAGAGGGUGAUCGGCCACACUGGAACUGAGACACGGUCCAGACUCCUACGGGAGGCAGCAGUAGGGAAUCUUCCGCAAUGGGCGAAAGACUGACGGAGCAACGCCGCGUGAGUGAUGAAGGCCUUCGGAUCGUAAAACUCUGUUAUUAGGGAAGAACAAACGUGUAAGUAACUGUGCACGUCUUGACGGUACCUAAUCAGAAAGCCACGGCUAACUACGUG
rnacentral:rRNA from 1 species